rnacentral:rRNA from 1 species
GAGAUGUGGGUUAAGUCCCGUAACGAGCGCAACCCUUGUCCUUAGUUACCAGCACGUUAUGGUGGGCACUCUAAGGAGACUGCCGGUGACAAACCGGAGGAAGGUGGGGAUGACGUCAAGUCAUCAUGGCCCUUACGGCCUGGGCUACACACGUGCUACAAUGGUCGGUACAAAGGGUUGCCAAGCCGCGAGGUGGAGCUAAUCCCAUAAAACCGAUCGUAGUCCGGAUCGCAGUCUGCAACUCGACUGCGUGAAGUCGGAAUCGCUAGUAAUCGUGAAUCAGAAUGUCACGGUGAAUACGUUCCCGGGCCUU